rnacentral:lncRNA from 1 species
UGGUAUUAUCUCCAACCUCUUAUGGUUCAGAGACAUUAAGAACGUAAGAGAGCUUCUUCUGAGUGAGUACAAUCUUUAAAUUCUUCAACCAAUCUAUGUAAUUGGGACCGAUCAAGUUGUUGAAAUCUAAAAUUUCUCACAAUGAUGAUGAGAUGCUAUUUGUAGAAUUUAAUCUACAAUAAAUAAAGAAUAUAAUAUAAGCAAAUAACUCAUG